rnacentral:rRNA from 1 species
CGACUCUCGGCAACGGAUAUCUCGGCUCUCGCAUCGAUGAAGAAAGUAGCGAAAUGCGAUACUUGGUGUGAAUUGCAGAAUCCCGUGAACCAUCGAGUCUUUGAACGCAAGUUGCGCCCGAAGCCGUCAGGCCGAGGGCACGUCUGCCUGGGUGUCACG